AGGUUCGAUUCUGGCUCAGAUUGAACGCUGGCGGGAUGCUUUACACAUGCAAGUCGAACAUGGCACGGACUGAUCUGGUGGCGAGUGGCGAACGGAGUGAGUAAUGUAUCGGAACGUGCCUAGUAGCGGGGGAUAACUACGCGAAAGCGUAGCUAUUACACCGCAUACGCCCUUCAGGGGGGAAAGCGGGGACCUUCGGGCCUCAUAUGCAUUGCGCCGAUAUCCGGAUUAGCUAGUUGGUGGGGUAACGGCUCACCAAGGCGACGAUCCGUAGCUGGUUGAGGAGGACGACCGAAAAGCCACACUGGGACUGAGACACGGCUGAACUCCUACGGGAGACGGCGGUGGGAAUUUUGGACAAUGGGGAAACCCUGAGUCAGCCAUCCCGCGUUGUGCUGAUGAAGGCCUUCAGGUUGUAAAGCACUUUUGGCAGAGGGAAAGAAACGGCACGGGAUAAUACCCCGAUGCGCAGCGACAAACCACCUGCAGAAUAAGCACCGGCUAACUGCGUGCCAGCAGCCGGUAAUACGUAGGGUGCGAAAGCGUUAAUCGGAAUUACUGGAAAGCGUGCGCGAGCGGUUCGGAAAAGGAAAGAUGUAAAAUCCCAGAGCUUAACUGGAACUGCAUUUUAACUACUGAAAUUAGGUGUCCAGGAGGUGGAAUUUGUGACAACAGUGAAAUGCGUAGAUAUGCUGGAGGAACACCACGAUGGCGAAGGCGGCCUUCCUGGGAUAGCACUGACGCUCAUGCACGAAAGCGUACGGGAGCAAACGGGAUUAGAUGCCUGAUGGUCCACGCCCUAAAACGUCAUCGCUAUUUGUUUGGGGCCUUCGGGCAGCGAUGACUGGCUGCUUGCCGUGAAGUUGACCGCCUGGGGAAGUACGGUCGCAAGAUUAAGAACUCAAAGGAACGUUGACGGGACCGCACAAGCGGUGGAUGAUGUGGAUUAAUUCAGUGUAACGCGAAAAAACCUUACCUACCCUUGACAUGUCCCCAGGUCCCGAAGAGAUUUGGGAGUGCUCGCAAGAGAACCGGAACACAGGUGCUGCACCAACUUAUCGUCAGCUCAUGUCGUGAGAUGUUGGGUUAAGUCCCGCAACGAGCGCAACCCUAUCAUUGGUUGCUACGAGGCACUCUAAUGAGACUGCCAGUGACCAGCCAAGAAGGUGAGGAUGACGUCAUGAUCCUCAUGGCCCUGUGGUAGAGCUUCACCGUCAUACAAUGGUCGGGACGGUCGCCAACCCGCGAGGGGGAGCCAAUCCCAGAAACCCGAUCGUAGUCCGGAUCGCAGUCUGCAUCGACUGCGUGAAGUCGGAAUCGCUAGUAAUCGCGGAUCAGCAUGUCGCGGUGAAUACGUUCCCGGGUCUUGUACACACCGCCCGUCACACCAUGGGAGUGGGUUUUACCAGAAGUAGUUAGCCUAACCGUAAGGAGGCGAUUACCACGGUAAGUUUAUGACUGGGGUGAAGUCGUAACAAGGUA
rnacentral:rRNA from 1 species